GGGUAGAAAAAGAAAGCCUUUUAACAAAUUUAUUUUUGAUUGGCUUUCUGGGAAACUAAAGGCGCGUGUCUAAUCAUGUAGUGACGUCAUGGGAGAGCUUCUUUUCCUGGUGGGUGUAAAAUACGAGAUUUAUAUAUAUAUAUGUAUAUGUAUAUUUUAAAUGAAUUUAGUUUUCAUUAAGGUAUUUUGUAAUUUAGAUUUUUAUUGAUGAAAACCACAGUAAAAGUUUUUUUUGAGGGGGACUAUUUUCUUGUGAAUCCCUCCGCAGUUGUGCCUCAUCGCAUCUCCGCUCAGCUUCGUUUUUUUCACGUUCAGAAAACCUGGGCCGCUGCACAGAAAAGGCCGUUACCGGUGAGACUCGUCAGGUGGACCCUAAAAUGCUUCAAACACCAAAGUCAAGCAGCUCUGGAUCUCCUUUAUCCAGCACUUUUCUGCGGAAUUCUUCAGUGGAAAAUCCUUCACCUUUAACUCAUGAGGGUGGCUGUUUUUGCCUCGGCUGCAGCUGCCCUCACUCCUCCAUGCAGGGAGGAUGGAGAGGAAUGGGGAGGAUUAUAAAUCAAGAUUCUGGAUUUUUCUUUGGAAUCGGCUGGUGAGUCGAUCCAUGGACGGAUCGACCAGAACUUCAAGCUUUACUUUGUCCUGCACAGUUUUUAGGACACUGUUGAAUUUGGAAAUGAUAAAAUACUGAAUAAAAAAAAAACACAUUUUUGGUGUUUUUAA